rnacentral:rRNA from 1 species
UACGUAGGUGGCAAGCGUUGUCCGGAAUUAUUGGGCGUAAAGCGCGCGCAGGCGGUCCUUUAAGUCUGAUGUGAAAGCCCACGGCUCAACCGUGGAGGGUCAUUGGAAACUGGGGGGACUUGAGUGCAGAAGAGGAGAGUGGAAUUCCACGUGUAGCGGUGAAAUGCGUAGAGAUGUGGAGGAACACCAGUGGCGAAGGCGACUCUUUGGCCUGUAACUGACGCUGAGGCGCGAAAGCGUGGGGAGCAAACGG